GCUUACGGUCAUACCACGUUGAAAGCACGCCAUCCCGUUCGAUCUGGCAAGUUAAGUAAUGGCCGCUCUGAAUAUUUGAAGUGUUCUCUGUUGGCC
rfam:Oesophagostomum dentatum strain OD-Hann O_dentatum-1.0_Cont731797.1, whole genome shotgun sequence.